rnacentral:rRNA from 1 species
UAGGGAAUUUUCCACAAUGGACGCAAGUCUGAUGGAGCAACACCGCGUGAGUGAAGAAGGGUUUCGGCUCGUAAAGCUCUGUUGUUAAAGAAGAACACGUAUGAGAGUAACUGUUCAUACGUUGACGGUAUUUAACCAGAAAGUCACGGCUAACUACGUGCCAG